rnacentral:rRNA from 1 species
AAAUUGAAGAGUUUGAUCAUGGCUCAGAUUGAACGCUGGCGGCAGGCCUAACACAUGCAAGUCGAACGGUAACAGGAAGAAGCUUGCUUCUUUGCUGACGAGUGGCGGACGGGUGAGUAAUG